UACAGAGGUCUCAAGCGUUGUUCGGAUUCAUUGGGCGUAAAGGGUGCGUAGGCGGCGCGGUAAGUCGGGUGUGAAAUCUCGGAGCUUAACUCCGAAACUGCAUUCGAUACUGCCGUGCUUGAGGACUGGAGAGGAGACUGGAAUUUACGGUGUAGCGGUGAAAUGCGUAGAUAUCGAGAGGAACACCUGCGGCGAAGGCGGGUUGCUGGGCUGAUACUGACGCUGAGGCGCGAAAGCCAGGGGAGCGAACGGG
rnacentral:rRNA from 1 species